rnacentral:rRNA from 1 species
AAUGAACGUUGGCGGCGUGGAUUAGGCAUGCAAGUCGUGCGGCAGCAGGCCCCGCAAGGGGUGCUGGCGAGCGGCGAAAGGGAUAGUAAUGUGUGGAUACCCGCCCUGGGGACGGGGAUAGCUGCUGGAAACGGCAAUUAAUACCCGAUGAUGUCUCCGGACCAAAGGUGUAAUUCCGCCCUAGGAGGGGUCCACAUCCUAUUAGCUAGUUGGUGAGGUAACGGCUCACCAAGGCCACGAUGGGUAGCGGGUGUGAGAGCACGACCCGCAUCACUGGGACUGAGACACUGCCCAGACACCUACGGGUGGCUGCAGUCGAGGAUCUUCGGCAAUGAGCGAAAGCUUGACCGAGCGACGCCGCGUGCGGGAUGAAGGCCUUCGGGUUGUAAACCGCUUUCGGAGGGGAGGAAAUCUAGGGGGCAUCACCCUUCUAGUUGACCUAUCCUAGGAAGAAGGACGGGCUAAGUUCGUGCCAGCAGCCGCCGUAAGAC